rnacentral:lncRNA from 1 species
AGUUCAUAAGUGGGUUGGUCGCGCCCACUAACUCCGGCUCCAUGGGAACCGGGACUUUUGGACGAAGAACUCGGUUGAACCGCGAGGAGGAGGAAGAUUUGUGACAGCGCACAAGGAAGGACACGCCUGCUCGUUACAUCGACAGUUUGUGUGGGUAGACCGUGCGUGUUGUUCUGACGGAGAAUUUAUAAUACUCACCUCUACUCAAUGAACCUACCUUUCGCUUGUUAUUUUGUCCCCGACGGUUGUGGUUUUCUGCGUCAUAGCAACAGAGAUGUAAAUCAAGUUAGCCUCCACCUCUUCAUUUGAUAUGCAGCUACUGACAUAACCAGGAGCGCUGAAGUGACAGAGUGCAGCGGAAGAUGGACAUCCGGAGUGGCAUACAAAAGGCAGUGGAGCCCCUCCCUGCCUCUCUCCCCUCUUCCCCUCAACAGUCGGGUGCCCAUCAGCAGAGCGAGCCGGAGGACAGCCAGGCAGAACGGAGUGCCAGGCCCACCGCUGACAACCACAGCAACGACACCCAGCCAGCCGCCGGCCACCGAGACGACAAAAAAUAUUUCAGUGUGGAGUCCAUUGAUGGAGUCCAUAUGUUUCAUGAAGCCAUUAGAAGACUGUUGCUGACUGAGAUGAGUCUGGCACUAACCCAGAACUAUCAGAAGCAUCUUUCUUUCGGCUGCUGCUGACAACAACUGCAUGACCUGAGCCCUAGGACCAUGCCUCAGGACUACCUGGUAUGAUGACUCCUUGCUGUCCCCAGUCCACCUAGCCGUGCUGCUGCUCCAGUUUCAACUGUUCUGCCUGCAGCUAUGGAACCCUGACCUGUUCACCGGACGUGCUUGUUGCACCCUCGACAACUACUAUGAUUAUUAUUAUUUGACCAUGCUGGUCAUUUAUGAACAUUUUAACAUUUUAACAUCUUGACCAUGUUCUGUUAUAAUAUCCACCCUGCACAGCCAGAAGAGGACUGGCCACCCCUCAUAGCGUGGUUCCUCUCUAGGUUUCUUCCUAGGUUUUUGGCCUUUCUAGGGAGUUUUUCCUAGGGAGUUUUUCCUAGCCACCGUGCUUCUUUCACAUGCUUUGCUUGCUGUUUGGGGUUUUAGGCUGGGUUUCUGUACAGCACUUUGAGAAUAUCAGCUGAUGUACGAAGGGCUAUAUAAAAAUACAUUUGAUUUGAAAUAUGGUUUUCGUGCUGCGUGACUGGGUCCUUAAGCCCUUGCUGCUGUUCAGGGGCUGCCCACAAGGGGGGAGGAGAAAUUCGCACAAUUAAUUGAGGCUGGAUUUAGAGUCCGGUUGCGUGUCAGGGAAGCUCCCAAAACGCAAACUAUGUAAAAUAUGUUGGGGGGGAUGCGAAAUUCAUGGAAGCCACGUCGUCUCCAUUUCCUUUCUAAGUGUUAGUAUGUUUUAUUCAGCUGGAGCAUCAGUUUCACAGAGGUUGUGUCCCAAAUGGCACCCUAUUCCCUAUAUAGGGCACGACUUUAUAAGGCUCUGGUCAAAAGUAGUGCACUAUAUAGGGAAAAGGUUCAAUUUGGGAGGCAACCAGAGACUGGGAAAAGGAGACUGUCCUAGUUUAGCAUAAUAGAUCUUCCUGUCAGAUCAAAUCAGCCUCUGGUGUUUACAGUCAAUCAUCUAUGGAAUGACAACAAUCCAGCCCAAGACCGCUGCGGUCAUAUAAGGAGUUCAAAGACCUACUAAUUAAAUGAAAUAUUCGGUUUAAAACCCACUGAUUCCUAGAAGGGGUGUUCAUGAUCAAUUUUUUGAACUGCCGAAUGAUAAACUAUAUUCCCAAUUCUGUGAACAGACAGAAUGGCACCAUUGCAUGAUUUCGGCCACAUCAAGUUCAUCAUGAUCAAGAGGUAAAGUGUAGAGAUGGUCCGUGUUUCCCUGUGCAUCAGCUCUAAUCUCAGUAACGAUUGGAUUGCUCGUCUCUGAGCAGAGAGAGUAAAUCCGGCAAACAAUUGUCGAAUGCCUUAUCCCCCUGUUUACAGCGAGCCUUCAAUCGAUAUCCAUGGAGCGCUCGAAUAAACAAACCCUAAAAGCAGAGCUUCUGCUAGCCUCGGAGAUCCCAGCUGUAACAAUGAUUCAUUUUAACAACCAGAGCUAAUUGUCUCCCAAACUUUAGUUAACAGCCAAUAUGAUCUGGCCCUGGGUGCUUUUCUCCACUGUAAUGAAGAAUAAUGAGGGAUGGAAUUACUGCUGGCACUUUUUUCAGGUGGAUUUGUUCGAAAGCAGAGGGCAGAGGGGGCCGAGUCUGUGAAUGAAGAGAGAGCCUGGAACGUAUUUGUCGGGAGAGUUCAACUGCGGAGCUCUUGGUUCAAAUUGAAUGACAUCGGGAAAUCAGAGCCUUGUGUUACAUGGAGGAAUUAGAUCUCUGUGUUUUAUGUUAUUCUUGUCGAGGAUUUGCUCAAUGCUCGCGGGGCAUUGUAUGCCGUCAGACAUCUUGUGAGGCACUUACAGUGCCUUCAGAAAGUAUUCAUACCCCUUGACUUAUUUCAUAUUGUGUUACAGCCUGAAUUCAAAAUGGAUUACAUAUUUUUUUCUCACCCAUCUUCACACAAUACCCUGUAAUGACAAAGUGAAAACAUGUUUUUAGACAUUUUUGCAAAUGUAUUGACAAUGAAAUACAUAAAUUAGAAUUCACACCCCUGAGUCAAUGCAUGUUUGGAAUCACCUUUGGCAGCGUUUACAGCUGUGAGCCUUUCUGGGUAUGUCUCUAAGAGAUUUCCACACCUUGAUUGUGCAAAUUUGGCCAUUAUUCUUUUCAAAAUUCUUCAAGCUCUGUCAAAUGGGUUGUUGAUCAUCGCUAGACAACUGUUGCGGUCAGUGGCGUUUCAGAUGACGGAGGAUGAUUCAUUGUUUUAUGAGCAUGGCCGUAUUUCUAUUACAGCAUAUUGGAUGACUGUCAUUCAUAUUCCAUUCACCCAGUUCAAUAUAACAUUGAUAGGUUUAGGCUACUACAUGAUACUCACAUUUUCCCUGUAACCGUCAUGAGGUUGCUACAACCCAGCCUAUGAAUGAAAGUUUACAAUGUAGGUGCACGGGUCGAGAGAAAAAUUUGAGUAAUCAAGGUGACAGACAAUGUCACGGAUCCCUCCAGAACUGUGUCAUUACGCACACCUGGUCCCUAUUCCCAUUGAUUAGUAAUUGUGUAAGUGUGCCCAUUGUUCAACAUUGUCCUGUCGAUUAUUGUUCCAAUAUCCGUUGGUACGUGUGAAUACCUGUGCUGUGUGUUUUGGCUUUCGUGCCAUUGUGGAUUGCGCAGAUGAUUACGGGCCUCGUCCCGUGUGAUAUCAUUGAGCACUUGUGUGUUUCGGGUCUCUCCCCAGUGUAUUUAUUCCAGGUACUCCUCACUCUUUUGUUUGGGGUUCAACACUGUAUUUUGUAUACGUGUUUGUUUGGUCUUCGUCC